rnacentral:lncRNA from 10 species
UCCCCAGAAGUAUGAUCUGGGAGGUUUUGCCAGCCAGGGCUACAGAGGAGCCCAGAAGCCCCCUCUAAUAGAACUGAUCCAUGUCCAGAUCACCUAAAUAGCUGAAGAUUAAGAAACCUUCAAGCUACCCAAGAUAAACAUCUCAGUGAUGGAAGAGAAGAAAUAACCACCAAGGACCCAUAACCUCAAACCCUCUGACUUGAGUAUACUCACAUCCACUGCUUUCUAGAGCUCUUUCUAUUCAAGUAGUUCCAGAUAGAGGGUGUCUUGUAUUCCACCCCUUUUACCCUGGAUCUGAUGUAGAAAAGUUAUAUUUUUUUCUUAAAACCUCUUAAACUGAGGCUAAAGCUGGAGACAUCACUAAUUUUUUAUAAACAGUACAAAGCUUGUCCUUAUUGUGUGGAAGAAUCAUUUAAAAGACAAAUGCAUAAAAAUAACUAUAAAUAUGUUAAUGGGUACACAAUAUUUGAAGGUAUAAUUUGGGACAUUAAUGGCAUAAAAGGGUAGUAAAGCUAUAAAGGAAUAGAGUGCUUGUAUGUGAUUUAAGUUAAAUUAGUAGUAGAUUAUCAUAACUUUAGAAUGUUAUAUAAGACAUACAGAAAACAAAUAGCAAAAUGGCAAAAGUAAGUGUUUCCCUAUCAGUAAUUACUUCAAAUGUAAAUGAAUUAAACUCCCCAGUCAAAA